rnacentral:rRNA from 1 species
AUUGAACGCUGGCGGCAGGCCUAACACAUGCAAGUCGAACGCGUGGCGGACGCGUGAGUAAUGUCUGGGAAACUGCCCGAUGUGGGGGGAUAACUACUCGAAACGCUAUCUCAUACCCCGUACCAUCUGAGUUGCCCACAUGGGAUUAGCUUGUAGGUGGGGUAACGGCUCACCUAGGCGACGAUCCCUAGAUGGGCUGAGAGGAUGACCAGCCACACUGGAACUGAGACACGGUCCAGACUCCUACGGGAGGCAGCAGUGGGGAAUAUUGCACAAUGGGCGCAAGCCUGAUGCAGCCAUGCCGCGUGUAUGAAGAAGGCCUUCGGGUUGUAAAGUACUUUCAGCGGGGAGGCGUUACUCGCAGAAGAAGCACCGGCUAACUCCGUGCCAGCCGCCGCGGUAAUAC